rnacentral:tRNA from 1 species
GCGAAUGUCGUAUAAUGGUAUUACCCUAGCCUUCCAAGCUAGAUAUGUGGGUUCGAUUCCCAUCAUUCGCUCCA